rnacentral:rRNA from 1 species
GACCUCGGAUCAGGUAGGGAUACCCGCUGAACCUAAGCAUAUCAAUAAGCGGAGGAAAAGAAACCAACAGGGAUUGCCUCAGUAACGGCGAGUGAAGCGGCAACAGCUCAAAUUUGAAAUCUGGGUCUUUCAGGCUCCGAGUUGUAAUUUGUAGAAGAUGCUUCGAGCGUGGCACCGGUCUAAGUUCCUUGGAACAGGACGUCAUAGAGGGUGAGAAUCCCGUAUGCGACUGGCCGCCUUCGUUCAUGUGAAGCUCUUUCGACGAGUCGAGUUGUUUGGGAAUGCAGCUCAAAAUGGGUGGUAUAUUUCAUCUAAAGCUAAAUAUUGGCCAGAGACCGAUAGCGCACAAGUAGAGUGAUCGAAAGAUGAAAAGCACUUUGGAAAGAGAGUUAAACAGUACGUGAAAUUGUUGAAAGGGAAGCGC